CAGACGGCGGGAGGGCGGCUUCCGGUGCGCGGGGUCGCCCAGGCCGAGGUCAAGGGCUCUGCGGCAGAAAUGGCAUCGCCGCUGGGCCCCGUGAGGCCGGAAGGAGCGGACCCAGACCUAGCAGGAGUAGAGAUCCAGUGGAGGCUGAGACUUCAUCACCACAGCUCAAGACCUUCAACUUGGAAGCAGUGUGCUCCUCUGAGGCCUCUUGAACCUCCUGCUUGGGGCUCUCUGACAGCAAUGGUGAGAAGGAUCGAGAUGAGGAAGAAGAUUCAUGCAAAGGAGGCUGAGAAGUGGGCACCAAAAAGCUACUGGAGCAGGGAAAUAUGAGAGAGGGGUGUCAUGAAAACCAAGGGAAAAGAAUGCCAGGAAGGAGGGAGACAUAACGCAAAAGGGCACCCAGAGGCCAGUUCCCACAAGACAAAAGAGCAAUUUUCAUAUCUUAGCGACCAAUGAGAACGAAGGCAGAAGGGAAGAAAAUAAGCCCACAGUUUUAAAUGGAGCCUGUUUUAAGCUAACCCCAUUAGUCUGAUCUGAAUGCCCAGGUAUUAGUUCCAUGUCCUCUAAUUAGGGAAAACACAUAUUACUUGAGUAAAAGAAAAGCCAACGUCACACGAAGUGAAAUAAAAAAGAAAUGUCAAGUUACAUCAAGUUGGUGAAAUAAAAAUUUAGGCAAUCUUAAAUUUACACCAAAGAGGAUAG
rnacentral:lncRNA from 1 species